UUCCGUUUGGGGUACCUGCGGAGGGAUCAUUACACAAAUAUGAAGGCGGGCUGGAACCUCUCGGGGUUACAGCCUUGCUGAAUUAUUCACCCUUGUCUUUUGCGUACUUCUUGUUUCCUUGGUGGGUUCGCCCACCACUAGGACAAACAUAAACCUUUUGUAAUUGCAAUCAGCGUCAGUAACAAAUUAAUAAUUACAACUUUCAACAACGGAUCUCUUGGUUCUGGCAUCGAUGAAGAACGCAGCGAAAUGCGAUAAGUAGUGUGAAUUGCAGAAUUCAGUGAAUCAUCGAAUCUUUGAACGCACAUUGCGCCCUUUGGUAUUCCAAAGGGCAUGCCUGUUCGAGCGUCAUUUGUACCCUCAAGCUUUGCUUGGUGUUGGGCGUCUUGUCUCUAGCUUUGCUGGAGACUCGCCUUAAAGUAAUUGGCAGCCGGCCUACUGGUUUCGGAGCGCAGCACAAGUCGCACUCUCUAUCAGCAAAGGUCUAGCAUCCAUUAAGCCUUUUUCAACUUUUGACCUCGGAUCAGGUAGGGAACCCGUGUUCCCU
rnacentral:rRNA from 1 species